UACGUAGGGUGCAAGCGUUGUCCGGAAUUAUUUGGGCGUAAAGAGCUUGUAGGCGGUUUUGUCGCGUCUGCUGUGAAAAUUUUUCGGGGGGCUCAACCCCCCAAAACUUGCAGUGGGGUACGGGGCAGACUAGAGUGUGGUAGGGGGGGAGACUGGAAAUUCCUGGUGUAGCGGGUGAAAAAUGCGCAGAUAUCAGGAGGGAAACACCCGA
rnacentral:rRNA from 1 species